rnacentral:snRNA from 1 species
AACUGUUCUUAUCAGUUUAAUAUGUGAUAUGUCCUCUGUUGGAGGGCAACAUAUUAAAUGUAUUUUUGCAAGUAGGAGUAGGACCAGGAGCUUGCUCCAGCCACUCCACGCAUCAACCUGGUAUUAUAGUACUUCCAGGAAUGGUGC